UGGGUUCACAAUAGCACGGAUGGGCGACGUGGACUUAGACUUUUUUGUGUAACACUGGCACAAAGCUUCCAGCCUGAGAGCGCAGAGAAGAAAUGGGAUUGAAACCGACUCCAUGAAACCUCUACACCCCCCCUCCCACUCACUGCGUUGUUUUGAAACUGUAGCUCCUGUUCUGUAGUCGUAAAGCGAGAUUUUAAAGCGCUCUGGUGAUCAUUAAUUUACUCGGACAUGGCAGAGGGGCUGGAACAAAGGGAAAAAAGGGAGGCUGCUUUGAACAAGUUUCCCUUCAUUUCAGGAAUAUAACCGGGGGAGUUGAAGCCCACUGCUCUCCUAUUUUACAGUGAGAAUUCAAUCAACUUGCAGGCAUACCGAGGAUCAAAGCCCCACUGACACCCUGGAUCCCGUGGGCCCUGUGCAGCCAGGCCAGAGCUGCUGCUGCGACGCCAUGAUACCCUUCAGUGUCCCAGCACCAAAGCUACUGGAUGCAACAGAACAACAGGAGGGAAUCAGCGCUGACAGGGGGGAAGCCUGCUUGACGUGACGGAUGAGAGAACCUGUUUGCUGGAACGGAGACUGGAUGUGCGGGAGCAGCUUUUAUCCCCAUCUCCAGCACAAUGCGGCGUAACCGUCCCGCAUCCGCAGACAGCCGUGUCUGACGGGCCUGACAACAACAGAAAAGGUGUGGAAUUGCAAUUGUGAGGGGUGAUUCUUCCACUGCUCCGUGGUGUCUGUGCACAAGUCAGAGGGUGGCAUGAGUGUGUGUGACUUCGGAUAGGGUGCGAAAAAGAUCACGCGUCUCUACGCAUGUGUUUUAUCGCAGAAGCUGCGCUUCCACUGAGCUCAAGUGAAUACAAACGACAUGUAGCGGCCUCCUUGGCCACUCUCCAUGCUGUUAUGGGGAAACCCCCUCCACUUAUACAGCACACACACAGGAUGUACAGCCUCCAAGAAGAAGCACUGAUAUGUCACGCUGAGGCAUUAAAUGGGACGAUAGUGGUUAGCAAUCAGACCAAUAGUUGGGUUUUACAGACAGAGCUCCCUGAUAGACUCCAAGCUUCGCUCUGGUUUUUAUAUUUCUGUGUCCUUGAAUUCCUUCACAUUCCAGAGGAUCAGUGUUAGGAAGCUCUGUGUCCUGCCAGCUGUGGGCAGAUUUAAAGCAUCUGCCCCUGGCUCUUCCAAUACCUUCACAUCAACUGUAGCUGCUCCACUUGUAAACAUCGAGUCAGAUAGCUUUCUGUCUAGACAGACGACUUUCUGGCUAGUUAUCUAGCUAUCAAGUCCUCUAGCUAUCUGAGACAUCAAGCCAACUCGACUCAGCUAGCUGACUGAAACGUUAUUGAG